rnacentral:rRNA from 1 species
AGAGUUUGAUCAUGGCUCAGAAUCAACGCUGGCGGCGUGCCUAACACAUGCAAGUCGAACGAGAAAAUGAGCAAUCCAUGAGUAAAGUGGCGCACGGGUGAGUAACACGUGACUAACCUACCCUUGAGUGGGGAAUAACCUGCCAAACCUGGGCUAAUACCGCAUAACACCUACGGGUCAAAGGAGCAAUUCGCUUAAGGAGGGGGUCGCGGCAGAUUAGCUAGUUGGCGGGGUAAUGGCCCACCAAGGCAGUGAUCUGUAUCCGGCCUGAGAGGGCGCACGGACACACUGGAACUGAAACACGGUCCAGACUCCUACGGGAGGCAGCAGUGGGGAAUUUUGCGCAAUGGGGGAAACCCUGACGCAGCAACGCCCAUGGGAGGAUGAAGUCCCUUGGGACGUAAACUCCUUUCGACCGGGAAGAUUAUGACGGUACCGGAAGAAGAAGCCCCGGAUAACUUCGUGCCAGCAGCCGCGGUAAUACGAGGGGGGCAAGCGUUGUUCGGAAUUAUUGGGCGUAAAGGGUGCGUAGGCGGUUCGGCAAGUCUUGUGUGAAAUCUUCGGGCUCAACUCGAAGUCUGCACGAGAAACUGCCGGGCUUGAGUGUGGGAGAGGUGAGUGGAAUUUCCGGUGUAGCGGUGAAAUCGUAGAUAUCGGAAGGAACACCUGUGGCGAAAGCGGCUCACUGGACCACAACUGACGCUGAGGCACGAAAGCUGCCGAGCAAACAGGAUUAGAUACCCUGGUAGUCCUAGCCCUAAACGAUGAUCGCUUGGUGUGACGGGUACCCAAUCCCGCCGUGCCGAAGCUAACGCGUUAAGCGAUCCGCCUGGGGGGGUACGGUCGCAAGGCUGAAACUCAAGGAAUUGACGGGGGCCCGCACAAGCGGUGGAGCAUGUGGUUUAUUCGACGCACGGCGAGGACCUUACCUGGCUCGAAAUUACAGAAUCGGUGGAACAUCGGCGCCCCGC